rnacentral:rRNA from 1 species
GACGAACGCUGGCGGCGUGCCUAAUACAUGCAAGUAGAACGCUGAAGCGAGGAGCUUACUCUUCUUGGAUGAGUUGCGAACGGGUGAGUAACGCGUAGGUAACCUGCCUUGUAGCGGGGGAUAACUAUUGGAUACGAUAGCUAAUACCGCAUAACAAUGGAUGACACAUGUCAUUUAUUUGAAAGGGGCAAUUGCUCCACUACAAGAUGGACCUGCGUUGUAUUAGCUAGUAGGUGAGGUAAUGGCUCACCUAGGCGACGAUACAUAGCCGACCUGAGAGGGUGAUCGGCCAACCUGGGACCGGGACACGGCCCAGACUCCUACGGGAGGCAGCAGUAGGGAAUCUUCGGCAAUGGGGGCAACCCUGACCGAGCAACGCCGCGUGAGUGAAGAAGGUUUUCGGAUCGUAAAGCUCUGUUGUAAGUCAAGAACGGGUGUGAGAGUGGAAAGUUCACACUGUGACGGUAGCUUACCAGAAAGGGACGGCUAACUACGUG